rnacentral:rRNA from 1 species
AUUGAACGCUGGCGGCAGGCCUAACACAUGCAAGUCGAACGAGUGGCGGACGGGUGAGUAAUGUCUGGGAAACUGCCAGAUGGAGGGGGAAAAUACGGGAAACAGUAGCUAAUAACGCAUACCAUCGGAUGUGCCCAGCGGGGAUUGGCUAGUAGGUGGGGUAACGGCUCACCUGGGCGACGAUCCCUAGCUGGUCUGAGAGGAUGACCAGCCACACUGGAACUGAGACACGGUCCAGACUCCUACGGGAGGCAGCAGUGGGGAAUAUUGCACAAUGGGCGCAAGCCUGAUGCAGCCAUGCCGCGUGUAUGAAGAAGGCCUUCGGGUUGUAAAGUACUUUCAUCGAGGAGGCGUUACUCGCAGAAGAAGCACCGGCUAACUCCGUGCCAGCAGCCGCGGUAAUAC